rnacentral:lncRNA from 10 species
GGCAGUGGCAAGACAGAGAUUAAAGUAACAAAGGUCAUACCCGUGACGAGCUCUGAAAGAGCUAAGAUAAUGAACGUAAAGUGAUAAAGAUAAUGGCAGUGACAAUGACAAUGACGGGGAAAGAAGUCAUAGUCAGACCUUCCCCAUACAGUGAUUUCAUCACUCUCCACGUGCUGCACCUGCAUUAACCCAGCUGAUCUCCACACACUGCCCCGAGAUGGAUGGAGAACACGUGAUUUUCUGCAACAUACAGAAGAAGAAACUGAAACUGAGAGACAGUGACUGGCUUAGGAUCACCCCGCUGAUGGACAGGGAGCCACCUGACCCUCUGGGUCCCAUCAUCUUUUCCCCAAACAACACUGGCUCUAAUAAAAGAAAAGCACCA